UACGUAGGGGGCAAGCGUUGUCCGGAUUUAUUGGGCGUAAAGCGCGCGUAGGCGGCGCGGUAUGUCGUGCGUGAAAUCUCCCGGCUUAACUGGGAGGGGCCGUGCGAAACUGCCGGGCUUGAGGUCGGAAGGGGAAAGUGGAAUUCCGGGUGUAGUGGUGGAAUACGUAGAUAUCCGGAGGAACACCAGCGGCGAAGGCGGCUUUCUGGUCCGAUACUGACGCUGAGGAGCGAAAGCGUGGGGAGCGAACAGG
rnacentral:rRNA from 1 species